CAAUAGCGUAUAUUAAAGUUGUUGCAGUUAAAAAGCUCGUAGUUGAAUUUUGGGCGUGGUGAAUUGGUCCGCCUAACGGUGAGUACUGAUUCGUUGCGUCUUCCCUUCUGGGGAACUAGGCUUCUCUUCGGAGUGGCCUAGAGAACCAGGACGUUUACUUUGAAAAAUUAGAGUGUUCAAAGCAGGCAUUUGCUUGAAUACAUUAGCAUGGAAUAAUGGAAUAGGACUUUGUUUCUAUUUUGUUGGUUUCUAGGAACGAAGUAAUGAUUAAUAGGGAUAGUUGGGGGCAUUAGUAUUUAAUUGUCAGAGGUGAAAUUCUUGGAUUUAUGAAAGACUAACUUCUGCGAAAGCAUUUGCCAAGGAUGUUUUCAUUAAUCAAGAACGAAAGUUAGGGGAUCGAAGACGAUUAGAUACCAU
rnacentral:rRNA from 1 species